rnacentral:misc_RNA from 1 species
UCCUAGGUAGAGGACAACGAGAUCGUAGAUGCGGCUGCGUCAUCGUUGUUUCUUUCAGAAGACGCGCAGUUCUCUGCCAAUUUAGAAACCUUCCACUCCCACCUUAGCAAACCUGAAAUUAACCAAUUAAGAACGAAGCAGAGGAAUAAUACGUAACAGUUGCAAAAUAAGAAGUAAACGCGAUAUAUUAAGAAAUUCAAAUAGAACGAGCGUUAUAUAGAUUGUUUCUUCAAGCCAGGACGUAUUAACGUACAAGCUGUUUCGUUCUUGUCCCGCCAAAUACUGCGUCAGCGUAUUCUAUGAUUAAAACGACCAACGAAUGUUUUACUUGCGGGCAGCUUUGGAACGCGACUUAUCUGGUAGAAAUUAAUUCGCGUCAGGAAUUAAUAUCAACA